rnacentral:rRNA from 1 species
GAUGAACGCUGGCGGCGUGCCUAAUACAUGCAAGUCGAGCGAAGCGGGGACGGGUGAGUAACACGUGGAUAACCUCCUAUAAGACUGGGAUCACUUCGGGAAACCGGAGCUAAAACGAAUACGUAAAGAUGGAUCACCGCUGCAUUAGCUAGUUGGUAAGGUAACGGCUUACCAAGGCAACGAUGCAUAGCCGACAUGAGCGUGUGGUCGGCCACAGUGGAACUGAGACACGGUCCAAACUCCUACGGGAGGCAGCAGUAGGGAAUCUUCCGCAAUGGGCGAAAGCCUGACGGAGCAACGCCGCGUGAGUGAUGAAGUUCUUCGGAUCGUAAAACUCUGUUAUUAGGGAAGCGGUACCUAAUCAGAAAGCCACGGCUAACUACGGGCCAGCAGCCGCGGUAAUUC